rnacentral:rRNA from 1 species
AAUGUGAGAUGCGGUGUACGAAACAUCAAUAUUCUGGCAUGAGAAAUUAAUGAUUUAAGUCCUUCUUAAAUGAGGCCAUUUACCCAUAGAGGGUGCCAGGCCCGUAUAACAUUAAUGAUUGCCAGAUGGUGAUUUCAGUGAGUCGUGUUGCUUGAUAGUGCAGCACUAAAAUGGGUGGUAAACUCCAUCAAAAACUAAAUAUGACCAUGAGACCGAUAGUAAACAAGUACCGUGAGGGAAAGUUGAAAAGAACUCUGAAUAGAGAGUUAAAUAGUACGUGAAACUGCUUUGAGGUUAAGCCCGAUGAGCCUGAAUAUCCAUUAUGGAAAAUUCAUCAUUAAAGUUGUAAUAUUUAAAAAAAUAUUAUAGCGAUAGUGUGCAUUUUUUCCAUAUAAGGACAUUGUAAUCUAUUAGCAAAAUUAAUUUAUCAUAAAAUAUAGCUUAUAGUUUAUUUUAAAUUAUUGUGCAUGCACUUUAAUAUAAAAUAAAUGCUAUUUCAUUUGAUAAAAUGUUGAUAGAUUUAUAUUAAAUACAGUGCGUUAAUUUUAUGGAAUUAUAUAAUGGCAUGAUAAUCUUACGAUUUUUAUGUUUAUUAUAUGCACUUGUAUGAUUAACAAUGCGAAAG